GAUCCUGGCUCAGGAUGAACGCUGGCGGCGUGCCUAACACAUGCAAGUCGAACGAAGCAUCUUACCGGAUUCUUCGGAUGAAAGUUUGGUGACUGAGUGGCGGACGGGUGAGUAACGCGUGGGUAACCUGCCCUGUACAGGGGGAUAACAGCUGGAAACGGCUGCUAAUACCGCAUAAGCGCACGGGGAGACAUCUCCUAGUGUGAAAAACUCCGGUGGUACAGGAUGGGCCCGCGUCUGAUUAG
rnacentral:rRNA from 1 species